rnacentral:tRNA from 1 species
CGCGGGAUAGAGCAGUUGGCAGCUCGUCGGGCUCAUAACCCGGAGGUCGGUGGUUCGAGUCCGCCUCCCGCUACCA